CAUUUUGAUUUGUUCAAAAAAAACAAAUGUGGUUUUCAAGAAUCCUUGGAGCAUUUAUUUAUGAUGCAGUUAUUGAAGAACUUAUAAUUUAAUACUAAACAUCCUUAAAUGGUUAUAAAAAUUGUUAUUUUCUUUAGUCGUUGUGAAUAGAGAUUUGUGUUGAAUUUUUGAAGAACCUUUUGAUCUUAGUAUUAGUUGAUCCAAAUGUGUAUUACCCAUAAUAUUUAUGACUAAUUGUUAAUAAUGUUGUUAUUAUUUCAGAAAUCCCUUAAUCAAUCAAUAAAUCUCACUGUUCUUCAAAGGAUCCUGUAGAUCGACCGAUUUGCAAGGGUUUCCCCACCACCGCUCGCGUCCCGUUGUCGUUUUCGUGAAAUCCAUUUCUUCUCUUGCGGGUCCAUAGGGAUUUUUGUGUCAGGGUACAUCCUUACAGUGUUAUCGCUCCUUCCCGGUAAAAUUAUACUGUUUGUCAGUGUACCAUUGAAUUUGUCAUGGUUGGCGCGUUUCGUGGCGGAUCAGUGAGUACGAGCUCCAUUAUUUCUUGCUUUUGAGUUCCUUCAUUUGUCGAGUAGGUGGUUCCCAUUUUCUAUAUAAGCCUGCCUUGUGUGUGUGUUUGCUCCAUCGUCUCAUGAUGAGCUUGGUCAUGAAGAUGAAGAUGGAGAAAUCACUUGAUUCUUUGUUGUGGGUAUGCUUUUGAUUUUUGUUUAUUGUUUAUUGAUUAAUUGUUUUUAUCUACUUUUGUAUGAAAUAUUAUUUGUUUGUGUUUCCCAUCUCCAAUUUAAGCUGAAACAGAUUUUGGGUAGGAAAGUUCCCAAAAGAAUUUGCAUAACUUCUUCAUGACUGGAUUAAACAGAAACAAGGAGAUUCAUAUAUGCACACAACGUGUUUGAUAAAAUGCAGAAGUGAAUCCUCAUCAACAUUAGCAUCACCUGAUUUAUUUGAAAAGAGAGGGAGAGAAAAACCUUAUUUCAACUAACACGCAAGAGUUCAAAACAAAAUAAUUUAUCAUGAUUAAAUUGUGAUCCUGAAAUGGUGUGGAACUGUACGUGGACUAUGAUAGUCUGGCUCAAACUGUUACACACAAUAGGAAUUAAGCUGCAAGACUCAAACUUAUAUGUUGUCAUUUAGUGGCAGGGAACAUUUCAUCAUCUAUAUUCAAUGCAGAAAAUGCUAAGUAAUUGUAUGCACCAAACAUUUUGGCUAGAGCCAUCAUUGCAUAUGAUAGUAGUUAUGAGAUGAAAGUGCAGUAUGAUGGGAUGUGGGAUGAUGAAAGCAAGAUGGAAAAUGAGCUUCAAGUUGAGCUUUGUGAAAGGAUGAAAGAUGCUGGAUUGUAGUGGCCUCCAUCUUCAUAAUUUGACUAUAUUACAUUUGCUAUUAAUUAGUUGUACUACUUUUUAAAUUGACUUCUAUGUACCCUAACAGUUAGUGAAUGGUGUCUUUUUUUCUUCAAGGUAAAAAAUGCAGUGUCAGCAAAGAUUAACAAGUUAUUGGUUUUUGGAUCAUUUUGAUGAAGGGAUACGAAUGACCAUAGAUAAUCCGGAUGUAGUUUUGGAUGAUGUUGUUGAUGGUGGGGUUGUACAAGAAGAAUACAUUGUUAUUGAUUUUCAAUCUCCUCCCUGUACAAGUUUUGGUGAAGAUUGUGUGCCAUGUGAAUGUGUUGGUCAUCAGAUACAAUCAUAAAGAUCUUAAAUAUUGUUGACGAUCGACACCGUUGACCUCAAUUACCAAUGUUAUGUGUGAAGGUUUUAAAAAUGUUUAAGUACUAGGAAUGUUUUAGUUUUCGUUAGUAAGAAAGUCUUGGUGUUGUGGAUUUGAUGUUCGUGAUAUAAUAUUCGCCUUUAUUGAAAGUGUUGAACGCCAUAGUAUAUA